rnacentral:rRNA from 1 species
UACGUGAGAGGCGAACGUUGUUCGGUGUCACUGGGCUUAAAGGGUGCGUAGGUGGUUGCGUAAGUAAGGUGUGAAAUCCCUCGGCUUACCCGGGGAAUUGCAUUUUAUACUGCGUGGCUUGAGGACUAAAGGGGAAAAGGGAACUCCAGGUGUAGCGGUGAAAUGCGCAGAUAUCUGGGGGAAGGCCGGCGGCGAAGGCGCUUUUCUGGUUAGAUCCUGACACUGAGGCACGAAAGCGUGGGGAGCAAACAGG